GACGAACGCUGGCGGCGUGCUUAACACAUGCAAGUCGAACGGAAAGGCCCUGCUUUUGUGGGGUGCUCGAGUGGCGAACGGGUGAGUAACACGUGUGUAACCUGCCCUUGACUUUGGGAUAACUUCAGGAAACUGGGGCUAAUACCGGAUAGGAGCUCCUGCUGCAUGGUGGGGGUUGGUAAGUUUCGGCGGGUGGGGAUGGACUCGCGGCUUAUCAGCUUGUUGGUGGGGUAGUGGCUUACCAAGGAUUUGACGGGUAGCCGGCCUGAGAGGGUGACCGGCCACAUUGGGACUGAGAGACGGACCAGACUCCUACGGGAGGCAGCAGUGGGGAAUAUUGCACAAUGGGCGGAAGCCUGAUGCAGCAACGCAGCGUGCGGGAUGACGGCCUUCGGGUUGUAAACCGCUUUCGCAUGUGACGAAGCGUGAGUGACGGUAAUGGGUAAAGAAGCACCGGCUAACUACGUG
rnacentral:rRNA from 1 species